rnacentral:tRNA from 1 species
UGUAGCUCCAAUUGGCAGAGCAGCGGAUUCCAAAUCCGCGUGUUGGGAGUUCGAAUCUCUCCA